GGACUGUGGCUCAGUGGUAGAGUGCUUACCUCACAUGUGUGAGGCACUGGAUUUGAUCCCCGGCACCA
rnacentral:tRNA from 1 species